GCAGGCUGGCCACCCAGUAAUCAGCACAAGUUAGAAUGUGGGCAACUCAGCAGUCGUUGCGCAGGCACUUUGGUGACUUUAGAUAACCUCGGGCUGAUCGCACGUCCCCGUGACGUUGACGACGCAUUCGGCUGUCUGCCCUAUCAACUUUCGAUGGUACUUUCUGCGCCUACCAUGGUGACCACGGCUAACAGGGAAUCCGAGUUCUAUUCCGGAGAGGGAGCCUGAGAAACGGCUACCACAGCCAAGGAAGGCAGCAGGCGCACAAAUUACCCACUCCGGACGCAGGGAGGUAGUGAC